GAAUGCUGACAUAAGUAACGAUAAAGCGGGUGAAAAGCCCGCUCGCCGGAAGACCAAGGGUUCCUGUCCAACGUUAAUCGGGGCAGGGUGAGUCGACCCCUAAGGCGAGGCCGAAAGGCGUAGUCGAUGGGAAACGGGUUAAUAUUCCCGUACUUGGUGUUACUGCGAAGGGGGGACGGAGAAGGCUAUGUUGGCCGGGCGACGGUUGUCCCGGUUUAAGCGUGUAGGUGUGUGUUCCAGGUAAAUCCGGUUCACUUUAACACUGAGGCGUGACGACGAGGCACUACGGUGCUGAAGCAACAAAUGCCCUGCUUCCAGGAAAAGCCUCUAAGCAUCAGGUAACAUCAAAUCGUACCCCAAACCGACACAGGUGGUCAGGUAGAGAAUACCAAGGCGCUUGAGAGAACUCGGGUGAAGGAACUAGGCAAAAUGGUGCCGUAACUUCGGGAGAAGGCACGCUGACACGUAGGUGAAGUGAUUUACUCAUGGAGCUGAAGUCAGUCGAAGAUACCAGCUGGCUGCAACUGUUUAUUAAAAACACAGCACUGUGCAAACACGAAAGUGGACGUAUACGGUGUGACGCCUGCCCGGUGCCGGAAGGUUAAUUGAUGGGGUCAGCGCAAGCGAAGCUCCUGAUCGAAGCCCCGGUAAACGGCGGCCGUAACUAUAACGGUCCUAAGGUAGCGAAAUUCCUUGUCGGGUAAGUUCCGACCUGCACGAAUGGCGUAAUGAUGGCCAGGCUGUCUCCACCCGAGACUCAGUGAAAUUGAACUCGCUGUGAAGAUGCAGUGUACCCGCGGCAAGACGGAAAGACCCCGUGAACCUUUACUAUAGCUUGACACUGAACAUUGAGCCUUGAUGUGUAGGAUAGGUGGGAGGCUUUGAAGUGUGGACGCCAGUCUGCAUGGAGCCGACCUUGAAAUACCACCCUUUAAUGUUUGAUGUUCUAACGUGGACCCGUAAUCCGGGUUGCGGACAGUGUCUGGUGGGUAGUUUGACUGGGGCGGUCUCCUCCUAAAGAGUAACGGAGGAGCACGAAGGUUGGCUAAUCCUGGUCGGACAUCAGGAGGUUAGUGCAAUGGCAUAAGCCAGCUUGACUGCGAGCGUGACGGCGCGAGCAGGUGCGAAAGCAGGUCAUAGUGAUCCGGUGGUUCUGAAUGGAAGGGCCAUCGCUCAACGGAUAAAAGGUACUCCGGGGAUAACAGGCUGAUACCGCCCAAGAGUUCAUAUCGACGGCGGUGUUUGGCACCUCGAUGUCGGCUCAUCACAUCCUGGGGCUGAAGUAGGUCCCAAGGGUAUGGCUGUUCGCCAUUUAAAGUGGUACGCGAGCUGGGUUUAGAACGUCGUGAGACAGUUCGGUCCCUAUCUGCCGUGGGCGCUGGAGAACUGAGGGGGGCUGCUCCUAGUACGAGAGGACCGGAGUGGACGCAUCACUGGUGUUCGGGUUGUCAUGCCAAUGGCACUGCCCGGUAGCUAAAUGCGGAAGAGAUAAGUGCUGAAAGCAUCUAAGCACGAAACUUGCCCCGAGAUGAGUUCUCCCUGAGACUUUAGGUCUCCUGAAGGAACGUUGAAGACGACGACGUUGAUAGGCCGGGUGUGUAAGCGCAGCGAUGCGUUGAGCUAACCGGUACUAAUGAACCGUGAGGCUUAACCUU
rnacentral:rRNA from 1 species